rnacentral:rRNA from 1 species
GUCACCCCCUUCCAGUAUCCAGUAGUGGGUAUUCAGUUACUUACUAUUGUGUGUUGGUCAUUUACUGUGAGAAAAUUAGAGUGUUCAAAGCAGGCGUUUGCUUGAAUAGAUUAGCAUGGAAUAAUAAUUGAAGGCUUUCGUGUUCGAUUUGAUUGGUUUGUUCAUGGAAGCAAGGUUAAAAGGAACAGUUGGGGGUAUUCAUAUUCACUAGUUAGAGGUGAAAUUCUCGGAUUUAUGGAAGAUGAACAA